AUCCUUUUGUACUUCAUAAACGUGAUGACUGGAUUUUCAUGUGCAUGCGUGAGAUAUGUCUCCCACAAAUCUUGUUAUGACAUCAGCAGAUUACCUGUCUGACA